rnacentral:rRNA from 1 species
CGUAAAGAGCUCGUAGGUGGUUUGUCGCGUUGUUCGUGAAAUCUCACGGCUUAACUGUGAGCGUGCGGGCGAUACGGGCAGACUUGAGUACUGCAGGGGAGACUGGAAUUCCUGGUGUAGCGGUGGAAUGCGCAGAUAUCAGGAGGAACACCGGUGGCGAAGGCGGGUCUCUGGGCAGUAACUGACGCUGAGGAGCGAAAGCGUGGGGAGCGAACAGGAUUAGAUACCCUGGUAGUCCACGCCGUAAACGGUGGGUACUAGGUGUGGGUUUCCUUCCUUGGGAUCCGUGCCGUAGCUAACGCAUUAAGUACCCCGCCUGGGGAGUACGGCCGCAAGGCUAAAACUCAAAGAAAUUGACGGGGGCCCGCACAAGCGGCGGAGCAUGUGGAUUAAUUCGAUGCAACGCGAAGAACCUUACCUGGGUUUGACAUGCACAGGACGCCGGCAGAGAUGUCGGUUCCCUUGUGGCCUGUGUGCAGGUGGUGCAUGGCUGUCGUCAGCUCGUGUCGUGAGAUGUUGGGUUAAGUCCCGCAACGAGCGCAACCCUUGUCUCAUGUUGCCAGCGGGUAAUGCCGGGGACUCGUGAGAGACUGCCGGGGUCAACUCGGAGGAAGGUGGGGAUGACGUCAAGUCAUCAUGCCCCUUAUGUCCAGGGCUUCACACAUGCUACAAUGGCCGGUACAAAGGGCUGCGAUGCCGCGAGGUUAAGCGAAUCCUUUUAAAGCCGGUCUCAGUUCGGAUCGGGGUCUGCAACUCGACCCCGUGAAGUCGGAGUCGCUAGUAAUCGCAGAUCAGCA